rnacentral:rRNA from 1 species
GAGUUUGAUCGUGGCUCAGGAUGAACGCUGGCGGCGUGCCUAACACAUGCAAGUCGAAUGGAGUUUAUGAGGAAGAAGCUUCGGCGGAAUUCUUAUAAACUUAGUGGCGGACGGGUGAGUAACACGUGGAGAACCUGCCUCUUACCGGGGGACAGCAGUUGGAAACGACUGAUAAUACCGCAUAAGCGCACGAGACCGCAUGGUCCUGUGUGAAAAAGAUUUAUCGGUAAAGAGAUGGCUCCGCGUCUGAUUAGCCAGUUGGCGGGGUAACGGCCCACCAAAGCGACGAUCAGUAGCCGGCCUGAGAGGGUGAACGGCCACAUUGGGACUGAGACACGGCCCAGACUCCUACGGGAGGCAGCAGUGGGCGAUAUUGCACAAUGGAGGAAACUCUGAUGCAGCGACGCCGCGUGAGUGAAGAAGUAUUUCGGUAUGUAAAGCUCUAUCAGCAGGGAAGAAAGACCUCGAAAGAGGGAUGACGGUACCUGAGUAAGAAGCCCGGCUAACUACGUGCCAG